GGGGAUGAUCGGUUUCGACAUUGCAUUUUUGAAUGGAAGAAGCGGGUCGAGAAUGUAGCGUCAACUCGUUAAUGUCCGCUGCAAACUAUAGGUGCCAAAUCAAACCGCACCGACUUUGCCCUAGCUGCAUAAGCUAGCCCGAAGUCCGUCAGCCUAAAUGUGAUUUCGUUUUAGGUCCUGGCGUCAUUUAGAAAUCUCGCUGAGUGUUUAUGUCUUAGGGACACUCGGGACUUUAACUAAGGCUGGGCCUGUCGGAUAUGUCGCUUCAAGCUAGCGCCGGGGCCGAGUAGAACCUUAUUGAAGCUACACCCGUAGAAGUGCCAUGAUCAUUGCAUUGGACGGGGGUUCAAUUCCCCCCAUCUCCACCA
rnacentral:tmRNA from 1 species